rnacentral:rRNA from 1 species
GAGGUGCUUGCACCUGAUUGAUUUUGGUCGCCAACGAGUGGCGGACGGGUGAGUAACACGUAGGUAACCUGCCCAGAAGCGGGGGACAACAUUUGGAAACAGAUGCUAAUACCGCAUAACAACGUUGUUCGCAUGAACAACGCUUAAAAGAUGGCUUCUCGCUAUCACUUCUGGAUGGACCUGCGGUGCAUUAGCUUGUUGGUGGGGUAACGGCCUACCAAGGCGAUGAUGCAUAGCCGAGUUGAGAGACUGAUCGGCCACAAUGGGACUGAGACACGGCCCAUACUCCUACGGGAGGCAGCAGUAGGGAAUCUUCCACAAUGGGCGCAAGCCUGAUGGAGCAACACCGCGUGAGUGAAGAAGGGUUUCGGCUCGUAAAGCUCUGUUGUUAAAGAAGACACGUAUGAGAGUAACUGUUCAUACGUUGACGGUAUUUAACCAGAAAGUCACGGCUAACUACGUGCCAGCAGCCGCGGUAAUACGUAGGUGGCAAGCGUUAUCCGGAUUUAUUGGGCGUAAAGAGAGUGCAGGCGGUUUUCUAAGUCUGAUGUGAAAGCCUUCGGCUUAACCGGAGAAGUGCAUCGGAAACUGGAUAACUUGAGUGCAGAAGAGGGUAGUGGAACUCCAUGUGUAGCGGUGGAAUGCGUAGAUAUAUGGAAGAACACCAGUGGCGAAGGCGGCUACCAGGUCUGCAACUGACGCAGAGACUCGAAAGCAUGGGUAGCGAACAGGAUUAGAUACCCUGGUAGUCCAUGCCGUAAACGAUGAGUGCUAGGUGUUGGAGGGUUUCCGCCCUUCAGUGCCGGAGCUAACGCAUUAAGCACUCC